rnacentral:rRNA from 1 species
CCUACGGGGGGCAGCAGUGGGGAAUAUUGGACAAUGGGGGCAACCCUGAUCCAGCCAUGCCGCGUGUGUGAAGAAGGCCCUCGGGUUGUAAAGCACUUUCAGUGAGGAAGAACGCCUGGUGGUUAAUACCCAUCAGGAAAGACAUCACUCACAGAAGAAGCACCGGCUAACUCCGUGCCAGCAGCCGCGGUAGUACGGAGGGUGCGAGCGUUAAUCGGAAUUACUGGGCGUAAAGCGCGCGUAGGUGGCUUGAUAAGCCGGUUGUGAAAGCCCCGGGCUCAACCUGGGAACGGCAUCCGGAACUGUCAAGCUAGAGUGCAGGAGAGGAAGGUAGAAUUCCCGGUGUAGCGGUGAAAUGCGUAGAGAUCGGGAGGAAUACCAGUGGCGAAGGCGGCCUUCUGGACUGACACUGACACUGAGGUGCGAAAGCGUGGGUAGCAAACAGGAUUAGAUACCCUAGUAGUC